GUGGGGGAUAUUGCACAAUGGGGGAAACCCUGAUGCAGCGACGCCGCGUGGAGGAAGAAGGUUUUCGGAUUGUAAACUCCUGUCGUUAGGGACGAUAAUGACGGUACCUAACAAGAAAGCACCGGCUAACUACGUGCCAGCAGCCGCGGUAAAACGUAGGGUGCAAGCGUUGUCCGGAAUUACUGGGUGUAAAGGGAGCGCAGGCGGGAAGACAAGUUGGAAGUGAAAACCAUGGGCUCAACCCAUGAAUUGCUUUCAAAACUGUUUUUCUUGAGUAGUGCAGAGGUAGAUUGAAUUCCCGGUGUAGCGGUGGAAUGCGUAGAUAUCGGGAGGAACACCAGUGGCGAAGGCGGCUUACUGGACGAUAACUGACGCUGAGGCUCGAAAGCGUGGGGAGCAAACAGGAUUAGAUACCCUGGUAGUCC
rnacentral:rRNA from 1 species